GACGAACGCUGGCGGCGUGCUUAACACAUGCAAGUCGAACGGUGAAGCGCCUUCCUUUUUGGUGGGUGUGGAUGAGUGGCGAACGGGUGAGUAACACGUGAGUAACCUGCCCCCUUCUUCUGGAUAACCGCAUGAAAGUGUGGCUAAUACGGGAUAUUCUGGGUCUGUCGCAUGAUGGGUCUGGGACAGCUAUUGUUUCGGUGGGGGAUGGGCUCGCGGCCUAUCAGCUGGUUGGUGGGGUGAUGGCCUACCAAGGCGGUGACGGGUAGCCGGCCUGAGAGGGUGGGCGGCCACAGUGGGACUGAGACACGGCCCAGACUCCUACAGGAGGCAGCAGGGGGGAAUAUUGCACAGUGGGCGCAAGGCUGAUGCAGCGACGCCGCGUGGGGGAUGGAGGCCUUCGGGUUGUGAACCUCUUUCGCCAGUGAAGCGGGCCUGCCUCGUUUGUGGGUGGGUUGACGGUAGCUGGAUAAGAAGCGCCGGCUAACUACGUG
rnacentral:rRNA from 1 species